rnacentral:rRNA from 1 species
GACGUAGGGCGCAAGCGUUGUCCGGAUUUAUUGGGCGUAAAGAGCUCGUAGGCGGCUUGUUGCGUCGUCCGUGAAAACCUGGGGCUCAACCCCAGGCGUGCACCCGAUACUCCCGGGCUGGAGGCAGGUAGGGGAGAUCGGAAUUCCUGGUGUAGCGGUGAAAUGCGCAGAUAUCAGGAGGAACACCGGUGGCGAAGGCGGAUCUCUGGGCCUUGCCUGACGCUGAGGCGCGAAAGCUAGGGGAGCGAACAGG